AAGUCGUAACAAGGUUUCCGUAGGUAUAGGUUUGCCUACCGAAGCCCUUAGCCAGCGACUCUAAAGAAAUCAGCUAUAAGUCGCCCCUCCGGGGGCUGGCGACGCCAUCAAUCUGUGUCUGGGAGUGCUCCCCACAAGGGGAGUAUCACCGGCAGCUCGUUCUAUCCGAGUUCACAGGUCAAACGAUAGCGGCCACUUCGGUGGUUAAGAUAUGAUCGGCCCCCAGCUAUCACCUAGCUAGGGAGGUUUGCGGAACCUGCGGAAGGAUCAUUAUUGAGUUCGGGGGCCUAGCCCUCAGCGAUGGGUGUCGUAUCGAGUCCAUCUGGGCUCGAGCCGGCAUUCGUCGCGUCUCUCAACCCCAUGUUUACCAUACCUUUGUUGCUUUGGCGGGUCUUGAGUAGGCUACACGGCUCAUGCCAGCCCUAGCCUUCAUUACCUAGGGAUGGCUCGCGCCCGCCAGAGGUUUAUUUAAAAAUCCUAAAUAUUAGUGAUGUCUGAGCAAAUAUUAAAUAAUCAAAACUUUCAACAACGGAUCUCUUGGUUCUGGCAUCGAUGAAGAACGCAGCGAAAUGCGAUAAGUAAUGUGAAUUGCAGAAUUCAGUGAAUCAUCGAAUCUUUGAACGCACAUUGCGCCCCUCGGUAUUCCGGGGGGCAUGCCUGUUCGAGCGUCAUUACACCCCUCAAGCGUAGCUUGGUAUUGAACUUUCGCGGGCCCUCUUNAUAGGGGGCUCGCGGGUUCGAAAAGCAGUGGCGGUCCCGAAGAUUUCGCGCGUAGUAAAUAUUAUCCCGCGUUGGAAAGAAUCGAAAGGGCCUUGCCAAAACCCCCCCCCAUAAUCUCCAUAAAUUGACCUCGGAUCAGGUAGGGAUACCCGCUGAACUUAAGCAUAUCAAUAAGCGGAGGAAAAGAAACCAACAGGGAUUGCCUUAGUAACGGCGAGUGAAGCGGCAACAGCUCAAAUUUGAAAUCUGGUCCUUUCAGGGCCCGAGUUGUAAUUUGUAGAGGAUGUUUCGGGUGCGGCGCGGGCCUAAGUCCUUUGGAACAGGGCGUCAUAGGGGGUGAGAAUCCCGUAUGUGACCCGUGAUCAAGUCCAUGUGAAACCCCUUCGACGAGUCGAGUUGUUUGGGAAUGCAGCUCAAAAUGGGUGGUAAAUUUCAUCUAAAGCUAAAUACCGGCCAGAGACCGAUAGCGCACAAGUAGAGUGAUCGAAAGAUGAAAAGCACUUUGGAAAGAGAGUCAAAAAGUACGUGAAAUUGUUGAAAGGGAAGCGCUUGCAACCAGACCUGUCCGCAGGCGAUCAACCCUCGUUCUCGGGGGUGCACUCGUCUGCGAUCAGGCCAGCAUCGGUUCGGGCGGUCGGAUAAAGGCCUUGGGAAUGUAGCUCCUUCCGGGGAGUCUUAUAGCCCUCGGUGCAAUGCGGCCAGCCCGGACCGAGGAGCGCGCCUUCGGGCUAGGAUGCUGGCGUAAUGGUUGUAAGCGACC
rnacentral:rRNA from 1 species